rnacentral:lncRNA from 1 species
GGUAACUAACCACACCACCACUACCUUGUUCAUAGGUUACUAACCACACCACCACUACCUUAUUCAGAGGUAACUAACCACACCACCACCUUGUUAAUAGGUAACUAACCCCACCACCACUACCUUAUUCAUCGGUAACUAACCACACCACCACUACCUUGUUCAUAGGUAACUAACCCCACCACCACUACCUUAUUCAUAGGUAACUAACCACACCACCACUACCUUGUUCAUCGCUAACUAACCACACCGCCACCGCCUUAUUCAUAGGUAACUAACCACACCACCUUGUUCAUAAGUAACUAACCACACCACCACCUUCUUCAUAGGUAACUAACCACACCACCACUACCUUAUUCAUAGGUAACUAACCACACCACCUUCUUCAUAGGUAACUAACCACACCACCACUACCUUGUUCAUAGGUAACUAACCACACCACCACUACCUUGUUCAUAGGUUACUAACCACACCACCACUACCUUAUUCAUAGGUAACUAACCACACCACCACUACCUUGUUCAUAGCUAACUAACCACACCGCCACUGCCUUAUUCAUAGGUAACUAACCACACCACCACCACCUUAUUCAUAGGUAACUAACCACACCACCACUACCUUAUUCAUAGGUAACUAACCACACCACCACUACCUUGUUCAUAGGUAACUAACCACACCACCUUGUUCAUAGGUAACUAACCACACCACCACUACCUUGUUCAUAGGUUACUAACCACACCACCACUACCUUGUUCAUAGGUAACUAACCACACCACCACUACCUUGUUCAUAGGUAACUAACCACACCACCUUGUUCAUAG